rnacentral:rRNA from 1 species
ACGCUGGCGGCGUGCCUAAUACAUGCAAGUCGAACGGUCUUUCUAUGGAAGCUUGCUUCCACUGAGAAGAUAGUGGCGAACGGGUGAGUAACACGUGGGUAACCUGCCCAUAAGAGGGGGGAUAACAUCCGGAAACGGGUGCUAAUACCGCAUAGUUUUCUUGAUCGCAUGAUUGGGAAAGGAAAGACGGCCUUUGUGCUGUCGCUUAUGGAUGGACCCGCGGCGUAUUAGUUAGUUGGUGAGGUAACGGCUCACCAAGACGAUGAUACGUAGCCGACCUGAGAGGGUGAUCGGCCACAUUGGGACUGAGACACGGCCCAAACUCCUACGGGAGGCAGCAGUAGGGAAUCUUCCGCAAUGGACGAAAGUCUGACGGAGCAACGCCGCGCGAGUGAAGAAGGUUUUUCCGGAUCGUAAAACUCUGUUGUCAGAGAAGAACAAGUUGGAGAGUAACUGCUCCAGCCUUGACGGUAUCUGACCAGAAAGCCACGGCUAACUACGUGCCAGCAGCUGC